rnacentral:lncRNA from 1 species
GAGCUGUUUCCAUUAUUCAAAUUAUCUUUUAGAUUUAUUUUUUUUUCUACAAAUUAAAUACAAUUUUUAUGAAAUUAUUAUCAAUAUUUUUUAUUUUAAUGUAUAUUUAUUUUUAUUGUAAUAAUAAAUUUAGAUUGAAGAUAUAUGUAGACGUGGGGUCCUUUGUACCCCACUAAAACGGUGUCAGCACUUCUUUUAAAUAUUCCGACAAAAUAGGUUCUAAAUGAAUGCAAAUUCCCAGGCAAUUCGUUCCAAACAAAAGAAGUGACGAUGCAUCGUAGUCGAACAGUGCAAUUCCAAAUACACGCAACAUCUUCUAUUGCAGCC